AUUGAACGCUGGCGGCAGGCCUAACACAUGCAAGUCGAACGGUAACAGGAAACAGCUUGCUGUUUCGCUGACGAGUGGCGGACGGGUGAGUAAUGUCUGGGAAACUGCCUGAUGGAGGGGGAUAACUACUGGAAACGGUAGCUAAUACCGCAUAACGUCGCAAGACCAAAGAGGGGGACCCUCGGGCCUCUUGCCAUCGGAUGUGCCCAGAUGGGAUUAGCUUGUUGGUGGGGUAACGGCUCACCAAGGCGACGAUCCCUAGCUGGUCUGAGAGGAUGACCAGCCACACUGGAACUGAGACACGGUCCAGACUCCUACGGGAGGCAGCAGUGGGGAAUAUUGCACAAAGGGCGCAAGCCUGAUGCAGCCAUGCCGCGCGUAUGAAGAAGGCCUUCGGGUUGUAAAGUACUUUCAGCGGGGAGGAAGGGAGUAAAGUUAAUACCUUUGCUCAUUGACGUUACCCGCAGAAGAAGCACCGGCUAACUCCGUG
rnacentral:rRNA from 1 species